CCACUGUAGUAGAGGACUGGAGGUGGGAACCACUGUAGUAGAGGACUGGAGGUGGGAACCACUGUAGUAGAGGACUGGAGGUGGGAACCACUGUAGUAGAGGACUGGAGGUGGGAACCACUGUAGUAGAGGACUGGAGUUGGGAACCACUGUAGUAGAGGACUGGAGUUGGGAACCACUGUAGUAGAGGACUGGAGGUGGGAACCACUGCAGUAGAGGACUGGAGUUGAGGACCACUGCAGUAGAGGACUGGAGUUGAGGACCACUGUAGUAGAGGACUGGAGUUGAGGACCACUGCAGUAGAGGACUGGAGUUGAGGACCACUGCAGUAGAGGACUGGAGUUGAGGACCACUGUAGUAGAGGACUGGAGUUGAGGACCACUGCAGUAGAGGACUGGAGUUGAGGACCACUGCAGUAGAGGACUGGAGUUGAGGACCACUGUAGUAGAGGACUGGAGGUGGGAACCACUGUAGUAGAGGACUGGAGUUGGGAACCACUGUAGUAGAGGACUGGAGUUGGGAACCACUGUAGUAGAGGACUGGAGUUGGGAACCACUGUAGUAGAGGACUGGAGUUGAGGACCACUGCAGUAGAGGACUGGAGUUGAGGACCACUGCAGUAGAGGACUGGAGUUGAGGACCACUGUAGUAGAGGACUGGAGUUGAGGACCACUGCAGUAGAGGACUGGAGUUGAGGACCACUGUAGUAGAGGACUGGAGUUGAGGACCACUGUAGUAGAGGACUGGAGUUGAGGACCACUGUAGUAGAGGACUGGAGUUGAGGACCACUGUAG